rnacentral:lncRNA from 1 species
GUGAUGAUAGAUCGUGGAGUGCUGGUGACGACGACCGCGGGUCGACUCGUUUUCUUUUUCAAUGUCUUGAGAUUGACGAGUAUUCUAUUUUUCUGAUGGAUUCAUGGUUUACGAGAAUAAGAGGAAGCGAUCUGCAAGCAUAACAUAGGGGUAACUGGAGUUGGGUGUCUUACAGGUUCUUAGCAAGUGAUUGAUCGUGUUUAUGUGAGUUGAUGUUACAAACAUUGAUUUUUAUUUGUUUUAUGUUUUUUGUAUUUUUAUUUGAUAUAUUAAAAA